GGAGGAAAGCAGGGGAUCGCAAGACCUUGCGCUUUUGGAGUGGCCGAUGCCUGAUUAGCUAGUUGGUGGGGUAAUGGCCUACCAAGGCGACGAUCAGUAGUUGGUCUGAGAGGACGACCAGCCACACUGGGACUGAGACACGGCCCAGACUCCUACGGGAGGCAGCAGUGGGGAAUUUUGGACAAUGGGCGAAAGCCUGAUCCAGCAAUGCCGCGUGAGUGAAGAAGGCCUUCGGGUUGUAAAGCUCUUUCAGUCGAGAAGAAAAGGUUGUGACUAAUAAUCACAACUCAUGACGGUAUCGACAGAAGAAGCACCGGCUAACUACGUGCCAGCAGCCGCGGUAAUACGUAGGGUGCGAGCGUUAAUCGGAAUUACUGGGCGUAAAGGGUGCGCAGGCGGCUUUGUAGGUCAGAUGUGAAAUCCCCGGGCUUAACCUGGGAAUUGCGUUUGAAACUACAAAGCUAGA
rnacentral:rRNA from 1 species